UGUUAAAAAGCUCGUAGUUGGAUCAAGAGUUGGACAGUGCACGGUGGCCCCAUUUGGAGUAGUGGUUCCGAUCACUGCUUCGGUGGCGGAUCAACCCCGUGCGCCAAACUGUCCACUCUAACAGACCGAAACGGUUCCCUGUGAGUAGGUUCCUUCAUUGGGACUGAAAGCGCUUACGCAUCUACCAUAUGCAUACGGGACGUCGGUCAAAGUUACUGUGAACAAACCAGCGUGUCCAAAACAGGCUUAGCCUGAAUGUUCGAGCAUGGAAUAACAAGGGAUCGAUUCUCUCGGUUCUUUUUGUUGGUUUUUAACCCGAGAAGGAGUAAUUCAGGCCACGGUGUCUGAGUUGGGUUUCCCUUCACCUCGGUGGAGGCCCCAAUUAAGGCCGUGUCCUUACGGGAUCAAUAGGGACUGACGGGGUCGUACGUACUUCCACGUCAGAGGUGAAAUUCUUGGAUCGUGGGAAGACGAACUUCUGCGAAAGCAUUCGACAAGAAUGUCUUCAUUAAUCAGAACGAGAGUGUGGGGAUCGAAGAUGAUCCGAUACCGUCGUAGUCCCCUACUGUAAACAAUGCCGUCUCAGGAUUGAGA
rnacentral:rRNA from 1 species